UCAGGCCUAACACAUGCAAGUCGAGCGCGCCCUUCGGGGUGAGCGGCGGACGGGUUAGUAACGCGUGGGAACGUGCCCAGAUCUAAGGAAUAGCCACUGGAAACGGUGAGUAAUACCUUAUACGCCCUUCGGGGGAAAGAUUUAUCGGAUUUGGAUCGGCCCGCGUUAGAUUAGGUAGUUGGUGGGGUAAUGGCCUACCAAGCCUACGAUCUAUAGCUGGUUUUAGAGGAUGAUCAGCAACACUGGGACUGAGACACGGCCCAGACUCCUACGGGAGGCAGCAGUGGGGAAUCUUGGACAAUGGGGGCAACCCUGAUCCAGCCAUGCCGCGUGAGUGAUGAAGGCCUUAGGGUCGUAAAGCUCUUUCGCCUGUGAUGAUAAUGACAGUAGCAGGUAAAGAAACCCCGGCUAACUCCGUGCCAGCAGCCGCGGUAAUACGGAGGGGGUUAGCGUUGUUCGGAAUUACUGGGCGUAAAGCGCGCGUAGGCGGACUAUUAAGUCAGGGGUGAAAUCCCGGGGCUCAACCCCGGAACUGCCUUUGAUACUGGUAGUCUUGAGUUCGAGAGAGGUGAGUGGAAUUCCGAGUGUAGAGGUGAAAUUCGUAGAUAUUCGGAGGAACACCAGUGGCGAAGGCGGCUCACUGGCUCGAUACUGACGCUGAGGUGCGAAAGUGUGGGGAGCAAACAGGAUUAGAUACCCU
rnacentral:rRNA from 1 species